GACACUAUUUCGAUCGUAACUUGACGUCAAAGUCCAGGUACAUCAAGGGAAGCGCGGUGAAAGGCCGCCACUGGUCCGCAACUGUGAUCGGGGACGAAAUCUGCACGAGCCACUGUCCGCUGGAUGGGAAGGCGCAGAGAGUAGGACGAACCGAAAGUCAGGAGACCUGGGUACCUGGAGAAAUCCUA
rnacentral:ncRNA from 2 species